rnacentral:lncRNA from 1 species
AUGUGGCUUUGACAGCCUCAUCAAUACCGGGCUUCGGUCAGCCACGAGAAAUCCAGCAGAGUUGCCGAGCAAGGUGAACACUGUCUUUGAUGCAGAAAAUACCUGGAAAUUCCUAGAGAAGGCUGUCUUUUUCCUCACCAGUAAAUCAAGGCAGAAGUGGACUAGAAGAAUUCUAUGAAGGAAGACACAUCCUGCUAAAGCCAGAGGUGCUUGCUGUCCAUUCCAACCUCAUUUGGAAUAUUUCUGUGGCUCAGAUUCAGUGAACUCCAAACACGUGGACCAGUGCUCCUGUGGCCAUCACACUACGUCAAGGGCUGGACUUGGCUUUAGAAUCCUCGCUCCAAAGACCAUUGCUGUCAAAGAAAGAACAAGCAGACAUCCCACCACAGGAGGUAAACAAAGAGCUCUCAGUCAGAGAGUUGGGGAAAAGGAAGACAGGCACCACUCUAAGGAAAAGGAAUCCCAUUUUUCCUUUUUUUCUUUCCUCUUUUUUUUCCUUUUAGGGCCAUGCCUGCAGCAUAUGGAAGUUCGUGAGCUAAAGGUUGAAUUGGAGCUGCAGCUUCUAGCCUACACCAUAGCCACAGCAAUGCCAGAUCCAAGCUGUGCUGCAGCUGGUAGCAACACCAGACCCUUAACCCACUGAGCAAGGCCAGGGAUCAAACCCACGUCCUCACAGAGAUAAUGUCAGGUCCUUAACCCACUGAGCCACAAUGGGAACUCCCUCUGCUUCUGCUCUUGUAUCUCUGGAUGAGCGAGUUAAGCCAAGGUCUUUUGUAAAGAUCUGGCCUCUUUCCCCAAAGGCAUGUCUGAACGUGCUGGUUUUCAGACUUUCAUUUGUAGUAGGAAAUAGGGUACCAUAUUUUGACCUGCUAAGUUAAAUUCUCCCAAAUUUAAAACUGAAAAAAAUAAAAUAAAAUAAAACUGAAAGCUAUUCCUUGGC